GGCCUCGCGUAGCUUCCUUCUACCGCUACUAGUGUAAAGCCUCGUGACUUGAAGGUUGGGUUAUUUCUCUGAAAGCUGCCAGGUUCGAAUCCCACCCGGGGAGAUCGCGGAUGAGCUCCCUCUAUCAGCUCCAGCUCCAUGCGGGGACAUGAGAGAAACCGCCCAGAAGGAUGCCACAUUGCAACACCAAAGCAGCAAAACAAAGAUGAUCAUCAUCGGCAAGACACCUGAACAGAAUAAAAAGUGGAGAGAGAAAAGGCAUCAAAAAAGAGAAUUUGCAGAACUAAACAUGUCAGAGCAAACAUAGGGAACAUAUAGAUGAGUUGCCUAACAUUAUUUCAUUUUGUAAAAGUUUUUAAAGUGAAGCCACAAUCUUUUCCUUCUCCCAUUGCAAUGCAAGAAUUGUCGAAUGCAUAACAACUGCCAUUCUUAUGGAUUUAUUCAUUUUGAAAAUAUCCUGUUUUUCUUCAUAGUUUUGUGAUAUCACCCAAUGUUAUGCAUUUUACUGAAUUAAUCAUAUACAUCUGGAUUACUCUAGUAGGCAACAGGGCUGUAACAAACAGGAUGCAAUGAAUAUUAAUCACUUCCCACUCAGAUGGUGCUUCCAGAAAAAUUUAUAUUGUGCAAUCACUCUGUCCCACUUGCUGAAUUUCAUUGGGGGACAGGAAUCUAAUGACUCUUUUACACUACACAAUUAUAGUGAUAGGAGCCCACUAUAACUGCAACAAUUCCAUCUUAUGGAAUCCUGGGAUUUGCAGUUUUCUGAAGGCUAUUUAGAAAUUUUAGCCAGAGAUCUCUAGUGCCAUCUCUACAUACUCAUAAGAUGUUGCUGUUAUGUGAUUUCAGUGUCCACAAGAAGUUCGGAGGUCUGGUAUGUCUAACUUUCCAGAAGGCCAAAUCAGACACAGACAGGUUGAAGGCAAAAUCGGAGGUUUGUUCUCAAUGGUCAGAGAGGAUGUUGGUGAAGAAAGCACUCCAAAGAACUGACAUACAACAAUUGCAAACACAGAGCAUAUUUACUGUAUUUGACUGAGUCAGCACCAUCUGAGUGGGAAGAUCAGAAACUGGUUAGGAUCUGUUCCUUAAGUGGACCAGGACUCUGUCUGUCAUCAUCGCUAGUUGGUUCUUGCUUUGGUGGGAAACUUUAAUAAACUGUCAUCGGUUUAUUUUGAAGAGCCUGUCAAUUCAUUGACCUGCUCCUGAGAGGGGGACAACCCGAAAGGAAUGUGGUGUGGCAAUCGAUAUUGCGCUUAUGAUAGGUUUAAUGGUUGAGCUUUAGGGGAUACAAUGGUGAUAUUCAAGUAUGAACAAUGGGUGCUUUAGGAUGACAGCCACUUCAAUGGGUGUUGCCAAGAUGAGUCUGGCUGGGGACAUGGGAGAGGAAUUGCUCCCACAGAUAACCCAGAUUGUAUCAGGUGAAGCAGCAAAAGAACCCAGGGGCUCUGACACAAUUGUGUGUUUCCCCCCAAGUUCUUCCAAUUCAUUGUAAAAGGAUUGCAGUAAUUUGAGGGAUUGUUUCCUGGAGUCCCCAUAGAGCUGUGCCUCAUAAUUUAGGGUCCAGUUUUUUUAUAACAUUGCCGUGAUAGUUAAGGUAAAAUCACUUUGCUCUAAGUAGGGUUGCUAGCUCUCAGGGCCUGGGGGAUGAGGGUACACAUUUUCCAGUUUUGGGUGGGCUUUGUUGCUUUGGAAAACUCCAGCUCAGCUAAGUAGAACAGUAGCUUGCUACAAUAAACAAGGCUUAAUUUGUAUUGCAACUUUAAAAGAUUCUCUAGAAGGUCUAUGUGUUCAUUUAGCUACCUACCUCCCUCAUCCCAAUUGUUGUGGCAUCAGGGCUCAUACUCCACUCUGCUAGAAGCAAGUAGGAAAAUUAAAUGUUCUCCAUUAAUAAGUGAGAAGAAAUAAUCUCAUUUCACCUUGAUCUGGGAACAGCCGAUUCAGCUAGGAUUUCUAUCAAUUUUCAAGCAAGAAAAUAAAGGAUUCCUCCAGGCAGGAAUCAGCCAGGCCUUGGAGCUGCAAGGCUUUGCAAUGUCAAUGAAGGUAAUUAAUUGCAACACUCAGACUUGCUUCCAACAGACAAGAGUUCUUUCUCCCACCCUGGACCUUCCACAGAUAUAUAAACCUCCCUUGCUUUGUUUCCAACAGACUUCACAACCUCUGAGGAUGCCUGCCAUAGAAGUGGGAGAAACAUCAGGAGAGAAUGUAUCUGGAACAUGGCCAUACAGCCCAGAAAACUCACAGCAACCCAGUGUUUCCAGCCAUGAAAGCCUCUGACAAUACAAGAAAAAUAGUUUCAAUGUGUAUGUUUAAAUAACAAGCUUUGUGAUUGACACUCACCUGUUGUUCUUGUGUAUUCAUUCAUUUGCCACAGGCUCCUGGACCACCAAAUCUCGCUCUUCCUGUGCCUCAUCCAUCCUGAUGUUGCUAUGAUUCAUUGAGACCCAGAGAAACACUGGAACAGUUCUCCCCACAUUGAUGCCUUUAGUGCUGAGGGUACUGAAAACAAAGAACCAGUAGCCCAGGAAGGAAGGAAGACAUUGCAGGAAUGGCAGUUGAAGAACAGCCUAUAUGCAAUCAUGAAAUCAUUUCUCCCUUGGUCCAUGACAGAACUCUCUAGAGCAACCAGAACCACCAACAUUGUAGGCCAACCACCAACAUGUAAAGACCCCACGAAGGUCUCUACUGCUGAUAGAGACAAAGGAAUCAGAGAAGCAUAUAGCUAUGUUUUCAUGGCCAGAUGCAGAUUGAUGACAUCAAACACUGAAGCCUCCAAAGAAUGUCACAAGAAGAUAUUCUCAGUCUGUAUUCAGCUAUGGGAAUAUAGUCUGAUCUGCUUUGUUGGCCCUUCCCUAUUGCUCUCUACCAGCAAUAGAAUGGCUUGUAUGGGAGGCAGCUGGCUAUCAGCAGAACCAGGAGUCCUGGUGAUGGUGAGAAGAGAGUCAUCGCAGAGUUCUAUGUGCAAAAUGCUUUUGCUUACACUCAACCAUGUAAGAUCUCAGCCACAGCAUUAUAAUGCUCCUAUGUAAUGAGUGCCAUUACAAGCUUCCUUUCAAGAACUGAACUGGACAGUAGCUAACCCUGCUUUGUGUUGGCUCUUCAAAGAUGAAUCAAUACAAAGGCUCAAAUGAUGGAAAAGGAGUCCAUUAGGUUCACACAGUUCCUAGGGAAGCCUCAAUUUCAUAUUUCUCAGGUUAUCACGCUUGCCAUGUCAAUCUAUCCAUUCUGAGGCAUGGGAAGUGUUCCCAAAACAUAGAUGAAUUUCAAACAUUCACAGAAAAUGUAUACAUUUUUAAACUAUGCAUAUAUUUCUUCGUGGGACUAGAAAAAAUAUUCUUGCAACUCAGUAUAAAAUUGGGAUGGACAAGAAUGACCAAGGAAAGCACACAAUGGUGCAAUGAAACAAAAUUUACAUAUUUUCACAGUAAGACUGUCGGCACUGUAAAAUACAUGGUGAAAACCAGUGGUUGUACUUUCACCCUGUCGAACUCUCUCACUGAAGAAAUUUGGCAAUUGGUGUUAGAAAUGUCCAUAUAUUUUUUUAAAAAAACCCACAUCUCUAAUCCUUAAAAGCUAGAAAGAUAAACUACAAAAGUUGAGUAUUAGAAAAAACCUACAUGGCAUGGGAUGCCAACUCAGUUACUUGACUUGGUUAACUGUUUCAUCAAUUGCAUAGCUUUUUUACCCUUGUUUUAUAUAAAUAUGAUAAACUGCAUGAUUCCUGCUGUUUACAAGAUAUAGAUAACAAGUCACAGAUAACUGCUGACUGUUGCCAUGCUCCUCUUUUUUCCAAAAGAGCUCCCAGAAGAUUGUUUCUAGGGUCAUUAUACAAAGGGCAAUGUAACAAAUAGUGUAUUAAAUCUUCUAUUUCCCCCGACUCACAAAUACAAAGUUGUUGGGCAUGAGCGAUCCCUCUGUAUCUUCCCUCUAGCCAGCCUGAUGGCAUUGUUUGGAAGCACAAGGCUGUAAAUGUUUUUCUAAGGGCUACAGACGUUAAGUCUUGAAGAUCUUGUUGACAAUAUUGGUCACUUUUUAGUAGAGGGUACUAAAUAGUGAAAAAGAUAAAGGUUGUCUUUUAAAAAAUGUGAAGGACAAGAAUAAUGCCAUUAUGCUUAUGUCUUACCACAGGUAAAAACAUCUUUAUAUGGAUAUUAAAUCAAGUAUAAUUACAGAGAUCAAACAUUUUUGUGUGGACAAAAUAUAUACAUCCAUUAUGUAAACUUGCCCCUUUGUCAUUUAAGGACCACAAGGCACAUUGAAAAGUUAAGACAGACUGAAGAAUAUAUAAAUCAAUAAAAAUAAAAAUGUUGACAUUAUAGUUUAAUUGUAUUUGCCUUUUAUACCAAAAACCCAGAAGUGCUGUGCGAAAGGUCCCAAACUCCACUUCAAGUCAGUCAUAGAGCCAUCAUCACAGGAGGACGUGACUUAAGUGUUUCCCUCCCAACAAUGCCAAUUAUUCUUCUCUCAUCUUGUAGGCUUGUCCUGUCAGAAAAAGAUAUCCUGCACAACAAUUUCAUGCCUAACUUUCUUAUAAUUGCCCCUCAGCUCAACCAAUGAAUCCUAGGACAAGAACUGCUUUCAAUUUGGUAUUUUUAAAGUCUUCCUCCUAGCAGGCAAGCAGGAGAAACUGUGCCUAGUCUUUCCCCCCACUUUUUUGGUUUCAAGCCCCCUAAGGUUGUAGUAGCUCAGGUGUGAAAAUGUGUGGUCCUUGAGACUGUUGGACUACAACUUCCAUCAGCCCUUCCGAAUAGCGAAGAGAGGAAGUUACAUUUAAUUACACUGGAAGGCUGUAAGUUUCCCAUUCUGCUUUAGACUCUCAAAUGCUUGAAUACUUCUUGACUUACUUACAAAAGUCCUCUCCUUCAGAUGCAUUUUAGGUGUUAGGGAAAUGGCAUAAAAAACCACACUGAGCUUGAGUGCAAAGGAUAAUGAAAUGUGGGGAAGGAAGAGCAUCAGGCUAGGAUGCCAAUGGUAUUAAGAAAGGUACUGUUAUCACCCAUAGCUCUCCAAAUCUAAAGCAUCAUACCCCACUUUUGAGUACUGAGCUCAAUUUGAGCCAGCUCUAGAGCAUGUGGAUCACGAGGACCACUGAUCCUUAAGAGCAUGUGCUGAGUUCCUGAGCAUGAUCAUCAAACACAAACACAGGGAACUUGGAUGCAAAUUUUCCAGGCCAAAGAGCUGUACUUUCAGCUAGGCUUUACCUCUGAAGUCUUUCUGACAGCUAGCAUCCCCUCCCCUUGCCUCCCCAAUCCCAGUGCAAUAGGGGAAAAUAAAAUGUGCAUUCAAGAAAGUACUGUGACAAGCUGGUUAGACUCAGCUCUGGAACACAGCACCAAGACAAGGAAAGGCCAGUCCAGUACGUGGCAUUAAUGGUCCAAAGAACUCAAAAGAGUCUGUCCCCACAGGAAGCUUUUGUCACAUAGAUCUCAAAUGUCCACGCUUCAUUGCUGAAGGGUAAUACUUGAGAAAUAUCUUUGUGACUAUCUCCAGUGUGUUACCAACAGCCUUGGUUGGGUACCGUUUCCCAUUGUAGAUAAAUCCCCUCUCCACUUGGAAAACGGCUUGGUUGAACUGGUUUUGGUGAAAUGGUGUCCCUGUGUUGAGGCAUUCCACCAGGGUGGAAACAAAGAGGCUCCAGCGUACUCCAUAAUAAUCCAGCACCAGACCUCCGAGUUGCUUAUUGGCAUAGUCCAAAAUAUUGCCACUGGGCCCCCAGAGGGUCAGCUGGUUGCGCGCAUUGAGGUCAUACAGCUCUGCCUCUCUGUCGCUGGUGGCUGUUGAGCGGGCAUCCUCCAGCCAGCGGCCGAGCAAAAAGCGCCAGUCACUGGCCAAGAGAUUGUCCAAUUCUGGGAGAAGGUCGUAGACCAGCACGCCACCUGCUGUGAGGAGGCGGGCUAGCAUGUGGCUCUGGAACGCCUGUUUGAUCUCCUGGUAAUAGUCACUCACCAGCUGCUGCAUGGCCUGGCGUGUCACAUCUGCCAAGUCGUAGUUAAAGGUGCUGCUGGUGCCAAGCUCUUUGGCUGAACUCAGCAGCAACCUCCAAGCUUCAUAGACGUCACUCUGAUUGUACCAUAGCUCCAUGUUCAUCCGCAAAGAUGGACGGUGUACCAGCGGGCUGUGGUUGUGGUUGACGCAAACGCCCGAGCAAUUGUAGACACUUUGCAGCAGUCUUUGCCAGGCCUCUGUUGCCUGUGCGUUUGUGGCACCAUAGCGCUGCGUGGCAUAUGAGGCCACCCACUGCUGAAGAUUCAAUGGCUCCUUACACCAGCCCAGGUCCGUCAUCAGCUCAUACAUCACAUCAUUCUGUUCAAUGCCUUCAGGGGUCAAGCCAAUGCCUACCAUGGUGGAGUUGGGGAAACCUCUGGCUUUGAAGGGACCCUGGUUGAUGCUCUCCACUGUGCCAAAAAGGCCAUGGUUCCCGCCAAAGUUCUGAAGCAUGCACCAGAUGAAAGGCUGCCCAUAGAAGGACUCUGUCCAAGAGUAGACAGGCUUGGAUUCGGCAAAGAGGUCCAGCACCACCAUCCUGCCAAGAGGCACACCCUGCAAAAGGGCUCGGACUUGGGCUGGCUGCCAGAAGUCUGGUUGGUGCUGGAAAAGCCAGCCCUGCAUCAACCACAAGGCACUGGGAUCAGCUGUGGGGAGAGAUGUUGCAAAUCAUUACAAGAAAAAAUAACAGGACUUACUUCUAUUUGCAGAUUUCUAAAACAUAAUCAUGAUGAUGUGCAGGAAACUGAUAAAAGGAUUUCCUAGGAUCUUUUUUUAAACCAUCUCCUUCCUUGAGUUUCGAAAAAUCUGAAAAUUCACAGGGAAUAAACCAAGACAGGAGGAAUAUCAUUUGGAGAUAUAGAUUAUACACCCAAUUUACACAGACAACACAGAGGCUUUUCUCCAAUCAAGAUGAGGUCACAGAGAAAUACCAACAUGGGCAAAAGAAUUAUAGACUAGUUUUGAUUGGAGGAGAAAAGGCAGGAGGAUAAUGAUGAGACAAGAGGACUUGCUGAGUCCUACCUCCUGUCAUGGAGCGGAAGACAGCUGCGCUGACCUGGGAGAGGUAGGCAGGAUCCGAGGAGAGUGGACGCAUCUCAUUGAAGGUGUCGGCACUAUACACAUGAUCUGUACCAAACUCCUUGAUCAGUUCCUUUAAGAAGAGAGUCCCAAUGACCUGGAACAUGGGAUCUUCAGGUGAUAAGAGGUAGGCACAUGAGAAGGUGCAAUCAAAGUGGCUCCAACUCCCUAGCCGUGUGACAUUGACCCGAGGGAAAACUCUACAACAUGAAAAAAAUAAAUUCAGAAAAGCACUGCAGCAUCAACUUGUGUGCAAAAUACUGGACACUAAGCCUUUGGUAAAACAACUCAGAAACUCCAAGCUGUAGAAGAUAAGAAGAAAUGAGAGUGACAGGUCUGCUCUUUUCAACAAUGCCAGAAUCAAACCUGCAGUUAACCUUCUCCUCUCCAUAAUCCUAUUCCAGCUGUGUUUCCUCCUUGAUCACUUUUUGACACUGGGUACCCACCUGAUCUUGGAAGCCAAGUAAACCAGCCCUGGAUAGUAUUUGGAUGGGAAACCCAUAACAAAUACUAGGGCACAUGGGGACAAUUUAUUUUAUACCCAUAGACCACAAAGGCACCGCUGGAAUAUGCUAUUCACAACCUGGUUUAGAUGGGCCAAUAACCUGACCUAUCAACACCGAUGAUCUGUUCUUGUUAUCCCAACCCCACUGCUUACCCUCACAAGAAGCAUGGGCAGUAUUUACCUUAAAAUACCACGAGGGAUGUGCCCAGAGAAGGCUGGCAGUACUGUCAACAUUCCCAAGGUCCGCAUUCUCUCCAGAAUCCUGUACUGGGAAGAUAAAGAGAGCGGGAUGGAGCAGGAAAAUGAGGCUCACAAAAGAACCUGUUUUGUGUCUUGACUAGUAACAUUCAGAAAAAGGCCCAUGUUUUAGGAUGAGUAUUGUGAAUUCUACAGCUGAAACAUUAAACUAGGCUUUAGUUUCUGGCA